rnacentral:rRNA from 1 species
GAUGAACGCUGGCGGCGUGCCUAAUACAUGCAAGUCGAGCGAACGGACGAGAAGCUUGCUUCUUUGAUGUUAGCGGCGGACGGGUGAGUAACACGUGGAUAACCUACCUAUAAGACUGGGAUAACUACGGGAAACCGGAGCUAAUACCGGAUAAUAUCUUGCACCGUAUGGUUCAAUAGUGAAAGACGGCCUUGCUGUCACUUAUAGGUGGAUCCGGGCUGCAUUGGCGAGUUGGUAAGUUAACGGCUUACCAAGGCAACGAUGCAUACCCGACCUGAGGGGGGGUCGGCCACCGGGGAAGCUGAACGCCGUCCCUGGCCCUAAGGGAAGGCACAGUAGGGGAUCCUACGCAAAUGGGGGAAACCUUGACGAAGGACCGCAGGUUGGAUGAAGAAGGCCUGCGUGUGGUAAAACCGUUUUAUAGGGGAAAACCAUUUUUGUAGGUAACGGUGCGCAUCUGACGGUACCUAAUCAGAAAGCCACGGCUAACUACGUG